rnacentral:misc_RNA from 1 species
CCGGAGGAUCUUCCGGAUGGUUCCGUUGCUUCUUUAGCGAGACGCUUCAGAGCUCCAUAUGCGAGGGAGGAAGAGUGCGAAUGGUGCCCGAGAGGAUACAGAUGUCCAAAGGGGGGGAGAUGAUAGAGGAGGUCAUUGGGAGAACGGAGGACAAGGAGUUGCCUGAGUUCCAAAACGGUGCCUUUGAGGUUCUAGGGGUUGGAAGGAAAGGUAAAAAUCUUAUUCAAGGAGAUUUCUUGGAUAAUUAUGUCCCAGAAGGCGAGAUUAAAAGGCACACGAUGCGUGAAUUGAUCGGUUCAAUUCGUGUCGUGGAUGAUAAGGAAUUUCACUGUGAUCAGUGGAUUGAGGAGCCAACACUUCU